GUGCAGGUAAUGGUGAGUUGCCCCAGGGCGGUGGCCCUCCUAUUCGUGAUCCUGCUGUUGGUUCUGCGCUCGGCCAGUUUUUUGGAGCGGGUCCUUCAAAUCUUGGUGGUGAUUCUGCUAAUGACGAUGAUUCGUUUGCUGCUUGGUCUCAUAUGGACCAUGAUUUUCUGUCUCGUAUGUCCGGGCCAAGCUAUUGGACUCCUCUGUCGCAUGGUCAUUCUUCUGGUCUCGGCCGUGCUAAUCCGUCUCCUUCUGUUGGUCAUUUCCCUUGGUUGUCUGCUGUUGGGCAUGCUAGCUCAGUAGAUGAUUUCCGGCGGUUUGAGGUGCGAUCUUCUUCGUCCAUGCCAGCAGAUCAUGUACCCACUGGUAUGCCAACUGAGGUGCAUGUGCAAGAUCCUGCGCCGGCAGACAAUUUGUCCCGCGUUGCUGCUACUCCUUUUGUGCCUGCACAUAGACGAUAUGUGAAUCGUCGGAUGCGUGUGUGGAUUCGUCGCCACCAUAUGUUUCUUAGAGCGGGGCACCUUCUGAAUGUUCGACUGCCUAUGUCAGCGGAGUUUAU